UACAGAGGGGGCGAGCGUUGUUCGGAAUUACUGGGCGUAAAGGGCGCGUAGGCGGCCCGCUAAGUCGAACGUGAAAUCCCCAGGCUCAACCUGGGAACUGCGUCCGAUACUGGCAGGCUUGAAUCCGGGAGAGGGAUGUGGAAUUCCUGGUGUAGCGGUGAAAUGCGCAGAUAUCAGGAGGAACACCGGUGGCGAAGGCGGCAUCCUGGACCGACACUGACGCUGAGGAGCGAAAGCCAGGGGAGCAAACGGG
rnacentral:rRNA from 1 species